AACUUGGCUUGUUCGAAGACCGCAAAACGAUUACCAUUUAGUUAAGUGGUUCAAAUACAAAGCCAAAAGCAAUUUUUGAUACGACGGUCUCUGAUUAUGCAUUUAUCCAGCAAAUUCAGUAACUUUUACGUGCAAUUACAUAU